UAGUCCACGCCGUAAACGAUGAGUGCUAGACGUUGGAGGGUUUUCCUUCAGUGUUGAAGCUAACGCAUGAAGCACUCCGCCUGAGUAGUACGGUCGCAAGAUUAAAACUUAAAGGAAUUGACGGGGGCCCGCACAAGCGGUGGAGCAUGCGGUUUAAUUCGAAGCAACACGAAGAACCUUACCAGCUUUUGACAUGAGAAUUAGGGGUUUUAGAGAUAAAGCCCGUCGGUUCGGCCGGAUUCUACACAGGUGCUGCAUGGCUGUCGUCAGCUCGUGUCGUGAGAUGUUGGGUUAAGUCCCGCAACGAGCGCAACCCUUAUUUCUAGUUGCCAUUUGGAACUCUAGAAAGACUGUCGGUUAUAAACCGGAGGAAGGCGGGGAUGACGUCAAGUCAGCAUGCCCCUUAUGCCCUGGGCUACACACGUGCUACAAUGGACGAGACAAUGAGUUACAAAUCUGCGAAGAUAAGUUAAUCUAUAAACUCGUUCUAAGUUCGGAUUGUAGGCUGCAACUCG
rnacentral:rRNA from 1 species